rnacentral:rRNA from 1 species
UACGUAGGGUGCAAGCGUUGUCCGGAAUUAUUGGGCGUAAAGAGCUCGUAGGCGGUUUGUCGCGUCUGCUGUGAAAAUCCAGGGCUUAACCCUGGACCUGCAGUGGGUACGGGCAGACUAGAGUGCGGUAGGGGAGAUCGGAAUUCCUGGUGUAGCGGUGAAAUGCGUAGAUAUCGGGAGGAACACCAGUGGCGAAGGCGACUACCUGGCCUGUUCUUGACGCUGAGGCGCGAAAGCUAGGGGAGCAAACGGG